rnacentral:rRNA from 1 species
CACGUAGGGUGCGAGCGUUGUCCGGAAUUAUUGGGCGUAAAGAGCUCGUAGGCGGUCCGUCACGUCGGAUGUGAAAUUCCAGGGCUCAACCCUGGACCUGCAUUCGAUACGGGCGGACUAGAGUUCGGUAGGGGAGACUGGAAUUCCUGGUGUAGCGGUGAAAUGCGCAGAUAUCAGGAGGAACACCGGUGGCGAAGGCGGUUCUCUGGGCAUGAUCUGACGCUGAGGAGCGAAAGUGUGGGGAGCGAACAGG